GUGCGAGAGUAACUGCUCGCACCUUGACGGUACCUAACCAGAAAGCCACGGCUAACUACGUGCCAGCAGCCGCGGUAAUACGUAGGUGGCAAGCGUUGUCCGGAAUUAUUGGGCGUAAAGGGCUCGCAGGCGGUUUCUUAAGUCUGAUGUGAAAGCCCCCGGCUCAACCGGGGAGGGUCAUUGGAAACUGGGAAACUUGAGUGCAGAAGAGGAGAGUGGAAUUCCACGUGUAGCGGUGAAAUGCGUAGAGAUGUGGAGGAACACCAGUGGCGAAGGCGACUCUCUGGUCUGUAACUGACGCUGAGGAGCGAAAGCGUGGGGAGCGAACAGGAUUAGAUACCCUGGUAGUCCACGCCGUAAACGAUGAGUGCUAAGUGUUAGGGGGUUUCCGCCCCUUAGUGCUGCAGCUAACGCAUUAAGCACUCCGCCUGGGGAGUACGGUCGCAAGACUGAAACUCAAAGGAAUUGACGG
rnacentral:rRNA from 1 species